UCUUUUGCUCCGUGGCUGUGUUUUAGGAGCGUAAACGAGAGCAGGCCUGUCUGGCUGAAGCGGAGAGGAAAUACAAAGAAGUCAUGGAGUCCAAUGCUCAGUUGGAGAAAGAGAAGUCUGACCUGCAGUCCCAGGUGAACACGCUGCAAGGCUCAGUGCAGCAGCUGAAGGAAGAGCACUCUGAGACACGCAUGAAGUGUGAUGAAAUGCCGGUCUCUCUGGCUGCAGCUGACAAGCUGCAGGAGGAAGCGAUGCAGUCCAAGGCUAAGAUGAAGAAUGAAAUAUUGGACCUGAAGUACCAUUUGCACACACUGCGAGACUCAGUGCGGGAGCUGGAGAUAAUGCUCUCUGAUGGAGAGAUGCACUGCGACGCUAUAAAGCAGGAGUCAGAACAAGAGCGGGAGGCUUACCGUAUCCUGAAGAUGCAAUACAAAAAGAUGAAGGAAACUAUUCAGAGGUUCAGAGAGCUACUAAUGGACUCUCUGGCUGAAGCUGAGCAGGCGAUGGAGGCCAACACUCAGCUGG
ensembl:lncRNA